GCCUCACUCAAAAAUAGGGACUGUCCCACCAAAAGCAGUAUAGUUUGGAGCACUGUAAGAUGUCUCUCGGACCAGUUGUUGGUCUAAAGCUCCGAUAACUGUCUGCCAAACCAAGAUGAAACUUGUUGCACACCCACCCACAGCUAUAGCACAUGGAAGCAGCUACUUCAGCCGAGGUAUCCUUUGAGCAUUAUCUGACAUCUUAGCGAUACAACCGAUAUGAAAUAAAAUACCUUUCCAUAGGUGGAAAACAUGCACAAUAUCAAGAAUUAACAGGUAAAAUCCACCCGACAAGUCUGCUGGUACUGUGAAAGUUCUGUGAAAAUGUUUUUGUUCAUACAGAUUUAUUUUGAAGCCAGCAUUUUUUUGACAGAUAAAACUCACACGUGACCCUUCAAGGAAUGAUUUAGCUCCACCAGCUUGCUACUUUCCCACAGAAGUAUUUCUGUCUGAUUAAACAACAUUAAGUGCAUCAAAGCUCUAGUCUGAAUACUCUUAUCUGUCCUGUCCAUCACAUAGAUUAUUCAUUGCAUUGUUUGAAAGUCUGUGACCUUAGAAUCACGAGGCGAAUUACUUCACAGAAGACAAUUUGUCAUAUGACCACUAGAUGUCGACAUGCACCAGAAAAAAACCCUGUAACAUAGUUGUUUUGAG